GAUGAACGCUGGCGGCAUGCCUAAUACAUGCAAGUCGAGCGAACACACGAGGAGCUUUCUCCUCUUGCGGUCGCGGCGGGCGGGGGAGUGAAACGUCGGUAACCUACCUUUAAGGCUGGGAUAACUUACUGGAACCGGAACUAAAAACGGCUAAAAGUUGUAACCUCAUGGUUCAAUACUUACAGGCGGUUUUCCUUUCACUUAUACAUGGAUGCGUGCGGCAUUAGCUAGGUGGUGAGGUAACGGCUUACCAAGGCACCGAUGCGUAGCAGAACUGAGAGGGUGAGUAGCCACACUGGAACUGAGACACGGUCCAGACUCCUACGGGAGGCAGCAGUAGGGAAUAUUGCGCAAUGGGCGCAAGCCUGAUGGAGCAACGCCGCGUGAGUGAUGAAGGUCUUCGGAUUGUAAAGUUCUGUCAGCAGGGAAGAAGGGAUGAAUAAGUAAACAUGCGCGUCUUGACGGUACCCGAACAGAAAGCCACGGCUAACUACGUG
rnacentral:rRNA from 1 species